rnacentral:rRNA from 1 species
UACGGGGGGGGCAAGCGUUGUUCGGAAUUACUGGGCGUAAAGGGCUCGUAGGUGGCCAACUAAGUCAGACGUGAAAUCCCUCGGCUUAACCGGGGAACUGCGUCUGAUACUGGAUGGCUAGAGUUUGGGAGAGGGAUGCGGAAUUCCAGGUGUAGCGGUGAAAUGCGUAGAUAUCUGGAGGAACACCGAUGGCGUAGGCAGGUCUCUGGGCCACUACUGACGCUGAGAAGCGAAAGCAUGGGGAGCGAACAGG